CUCCCUCUCUCCCUCUGUUUUCUGCUGCUUGCUUCGCAUCGCCGUCGCUAGCACCACGCGCAUAGCUCUGACGAGAGUAGGCCUCCGAAACCCUGCACGCUGAAGGUCCUGCACGAGAUAUCGAGCAAUCAGAUUUUUGGGAGCGUCUUCACGCGACUGCUUGCUUACUCCCUGAACGAGCCUUUGGCAAUAGCCUUGGUUGUUUUUGGAGUUGCGGAAAUUUUUAAGAUUUUUACGGAUUCUUCAGAGAAUUUUUCGGAAACUCCGUAGGUGCGGAUUCUCCGGAGGUUGCAGAUUCUCCGAAGAUUUUUGCGGAGUUUCUGGACUUCCAGAAGGCCGUUCGCGGGACUGCACUGCGAACAUCUUCCUGCAUCAACUUUGUACGACUACAUCGACUGAGAUCACCCCACGAUUAGUAUGACUAAUCCAGGUGAUAAUGGCUCAUCCGGUUCCUUCGAAACCGGCCCCGCCCAAGGCUAUAAGUGAAACCUAUUUAUUUCAUUCUGUUUUGUGUUAACACAUGAACGCGUGCACCUGGUCCGAUUCACUCACUAUAGUCAUGAUAUUAUUAAUAUUUUAAAUAUUUAAUUUUGAAAUUAAAAUAUACCGAAAUGUGCCUAAAUAUCUAACAGACUACGGGUGCUCCUCCCUAGUACCGCAACACUGGUCGCUCCGUGGUCCCAGCAUCGUGUCGUUUUCCCUUGCGAGCUUGUCACUAUAUCAUCAUAGUUACAACAGCAGCCCCACUUUCAUAUUUAUAAGGAGGCUCGGGUUACAGAUCGCGCGACGGAGGCACAUACUGGCUCCGAGACGGCAAACUCAAACCCCGACGCCGGCAGUCGGCACGAAGAAGGGAGGGGAGCUCGUGCCGUGGCGCUGAUCCAGCGGAUGCACAGGUCGUAAACAAACCAAAGCGCCCGCCGCCGUGCGCAUCGCAAGGGAGUCAACGCUGCCGGGUCUGGUCUUUUGUCCUACGCGCGUGCAUAUCGUAUCUUCUUCGAUCGGGAAACUCCCUCCAUCUGAACUGGCCCGUUCCGUUCCGUUACGUUCACGGCGAAACAAAGCAGCUGCGGUGCUGCACUGCACAGUUACAGUGUGCCUCAUCUAGUCCGAGGAAACCAUACGCUACGCUACUCUAUUUGCUGCUCUAGUACAGUCGUCUAUUUGAAUCCUGGCCUAGAUGAUAGGAGUGAGUAAUAAAAAUGGUAGCACAAAACAUGGCGGCCCUGUGCUGUGAUUGACGGCGAUUUGAUCUGAUGGUGACGCUAUGCUAGCUCCAAAUGGCUCGGCUCAUGAUUUCGGGGGGGUCCCAGGGUGCUGGAUUUGUCUCUCUAGAGACCACAAGAGAAGAGAGAGACCCCUCCAUCUAUGUAUCAAGUGUACUGUAGAUGUUGUGCUGCUGCUGCUCCUCUUUCGUCUCUCACCAAUUGAAUUUACACGCUCUUAACAG